rnacentral:rRNA from 1 species
GACGAACGCUGGCGGCGUGCUUAACACAUGCAAGUCGAACGGAAAGGCCCUGCUUUUGUGGGGUGCUCGAGUGGCGAACGGGUGAGUAACACGUGAGUAACCUGCCCUUGACUUUGGGAUAACUUCAGGAAACUGGGGCUAAUACCGGAUAGGAGCUCCUGCUGCAUGGUGGGGGUUGGAAAGUUUCGGCGGUUGGGGAUGGACUCGCGGCUUAUCAGCUUGUUGGUUGGGUAGUGGCUUACCAAGGCUUUGACGGGUAGCCGGCCUGAGAGGGUGAACGGCGACAAUGGGACUGAGAUACGGCGCAGACGCCUACGGGAGGCAGCAGUGGGGAAUAUGGCACAAUGGGCGGAAGCCUGAUGCAGCAACGUCGCGUGCGGGAUGACGGCCUUCGGGGUGUAAACCGCUUUCGCCUGUGACGAAGCGUGAGUGACGGUAAUGGGUAAAGAAGCACCGGCUAACUACGUG